rnacentral:tRNA from 1 species
CAGAAGGUAGUUUAAGUUAAAAUGUUAGUUUUGGGGACUGAGGAUGUUAUGUACUUUUCUGA